rnacentral:lncRNA from 1 species
GACUCAAUGCCACCCUGCAGCUGUGCCAGAUCACUUUGUGCCCUGCAGGUGCUGCUGUUGACUGUUCUGGGUUCCUCCACCAAUGGACAAACUAAGAGAAACAUAGGGAAAAGGAAAUCUGUAAGUGUAGACAGUGACUUGUACACUGAACUGCGCUGCGUGUAUGUGAAGUCAACCUUUGUACUUCAUCCCAGAAACAUCCACAAUUUGGAGUUGGUCUCAGCAGGACCCCAUUGCAGCAAAGACGAAGUAAUAGCCACUCUGUAAGAUGGGAGAAAAAAUCUGCCUGGACCCAGAUGCUCCCAGAAUCAAUAAAAUUGUACAGAAAAUGUUGAAAGUUGAUGAA